CCAGGUGGAGCCACUGAAGCCGGAGCAUGCCGGGCAGGGGUCAGGCCCUGGCGGGGCGAGGGGUCCUCCUUGGUUCCUUGUCGCCGGAUGCCCGUCCUCUCUCUCAUCUUCCCGCCUGCCGCCACGGCCUUUCCGUGGGGUCCCGAUUAUUUUCCUUUGUGCUUCUACCCACUGAAGCUGGGCUGUCGCCAAGGUCGGCCGCGUGCCCGCCUUGGGUGCUCCCACAGCCCGGGAGGUGCAGCUGCGUCCCCAGACCCUCGCGGGGGCCUCCAGCUGUAGGCAGCCUCUGGGCAGGAGGGGCUCCUGCCUGUUCAGGCCACCCCGGCUUCCUUGGCCUGUGGGUCCAAUCUCCUCUGGGCUCUUGACUACCCAGUGUGGCUCCUUCUCCCAGGUGGGAGCGACACAGCGAGGACCUUAUCCCUCCCCAUCACCACUCUGGCAAAGUCAAGCCGCUGUUUAUUUUUUGUAAGUUUUUAUUGUAGCGAUGGGGUCUCGCCAUAUUACCCACGCUGGUCUGAACUCCUGGGCUCAAGUGAUCCUUCUUCGUCGGCCUCCCAAAGUGCUAGCAUUAUAGAUGUUGAAGAAGCCUCAGCGGAGGCGAUACGGCCUCCUCGCCAACACUGAGGACCCCACCGAGAUGGCCUCGCUGGACAGCGACGAGGAGACGGUCUUUGAAUCCCGGAAUCUGAGAUGAUGCUGAGCCAGGGAGGCCAUGAGGGAAGGACAGGAGAUGGGGCC
rnacentral:sRNA from 1 species